rnacentral:tRNA from 2 species
AGUAAGGUCAGCUAAAUAAGCUCUCGGGCCCAUACCCCGAACAUGUUGGUUAAAGUCCUUCCCCUGCUA